UGAUUCUUAGUGGCGAACGGGUGAGUAACGCGUAGACAACCUGCCUUCUAGAUGGGGACAACACUGCGAAAGUGGUGCUAAUACCGAAUGUUGCAUUAAGCCUGCAUGGGCUUGAUACUAAAGGUGGCCUCUAUUUAUAAGCUAUCACUAGAAGAUGGGUCUGCGUCUGAUUAGCUAGUUGGUGAGGUAAUGGCUCACCAAGGCGAUGAUCAGUAGCCGGUCUGAGAGGAUGAACGGCCACACUGGGACUGAGACACGGCCCAGACUCCUACGGGAGGCAGCAGUGGGGAAUCUUCCGCAAUGGACGAAAGUCUGACGGAGCAACGCCGCGUGAGUGAAGAAGGUUUUCGGAUCGUAAAGCUCUGUCUUUGAGGACGAAUGUGUCUAAUGUGAAUAAUGUUAGAUAAUGACGGUACUCGAGGAGGAAGCCACGGCUAACUACGUGCCAGCAGCCGCGGUAAUACGUA
rnacentral:rRNA from 1 species